CUUGAACGCUGGCGGCAGGACUAACACAUGCAAGUCGAACGAGUGGCGGACGGGUGAGUAAUGUAUGGGAAACUGCCUGAUGGAGGGGGAUAACUACUGGCAACGGUAGCUAAUACCGCAUACCAUCGGAUGUGCCCAGAUGGGAUUAGCUAGUAGGUGGGGUAACGGCUCACCUAGGAGACGAACCCUAGCUGGUCUGAGAGGAUGACCAGCAACACUGGAACUGAGACACGGGCCAGACUCCUACGGGAGUCAGCAGUGGGGAAUAGUGCCCAAUGGGGGCAAGCCUGAUGCAGCCAUGCCGCGUGGAUGAAGAAGGCCUUCGGGUUGUAAAGUACUUUCAGCGAGGAGGCGUUACCCGCAGAAGAAGCACCGGCUAACUCCGUGCCAGCCGCCGCGGUAAUUC
rnacentral:rRNA from 1 species